UGUGGUGGCUCAGUGGCAGAGCACUUACCUGGAACAUGUGAGGCACUGGGUUCGAUUCUCAGCACCGCAU
rnacentral:tRNA from 1 species